rnacentral:rRNA from 1 species
GAUGAACGCUGGCGGCGUGCUUAACACAUGCAAGUCGAACGGAAAGGCCCUGCUUUUGUGGGGUGCUCGAGUGGCGAACGGGUGAGUAACACGUGUGUAACCUGCACUUGUCUUUGGGAUAUCAUCAGGAAACUGGGGCUAAUACCCGAUAGGAGAUCCUGAUGCGUGGUGGUGGUUGGAAAGUUUCGGCUGUUGGGGCUGGACUCGCGGCUUAUCCGCUUGUUGGUGGGGUAGUGGAUUACGAAGGCUUUGACGGGUAGCCGGCCUGAGAGGGGGACCGGCGACAAUGGGACUGAGAGACGGCGCAGAAUCCUACGGGAGGCAGCAGGCGGGAAUAUUGCACAACGGGCGGAAGCCUGAUGCAACAACGCCGCGUGCGGGAUGACGGCUUUCUGGUUGUAAACCGAUUUCGCCUGUGACGAAGCGUGAGUGACGGUAAUGGGUAAAGAAGCACCGGCUAACUACGUG